UUAUUUUGGACUUGGGUCUCCUCAUUCCAAGCCCAUUACCCACGAAAUUAGUCUAUAAAUACUGAAGUUUCAGUAGAGGAAAAAACACUUGGAGUUUACACUGGGAGAUUCACUGGAGAAAGAAGGAAGAGAAGCAAAACACUCUGAGGUUUCCUUGGAACAAAACCUUGAGGAAAAAGAAAGAGAGAGAACAGAGAAGGACG
rnacentral:lncRNA from 1 species